rnacentral:rRNA from 1 species
UACAGAGGUCUCGAGCGUUAGGCGGAAUCACUGGGCUUAAAGCGUGUGUAGGCGGGUCGUUAAGUGCCUUGUGAAAUCCCAUGGCUCAACCAUGGAACUGCUGGGCAUACUGGCGAUCUUGUGCAACCUAGGGGCGAGCGGAACAGAUGGUGGAGCGGUGAAAUGCGUAGAUAUCAUCUGGAACACCAAUUGCGAAGGCAGCUCGCUGGGACGUUACUGACGCUGAGACGCGAAAGCGUGGGGAGCAAACAGG